rnacentral:lncRNA from 10 species
AACAGGGCUGUUUCUCAGGCCCAGGGAAUGUGUACGAGCUGCUCGGCCAGUCUAGGGGCAUGUUUGCCAGAGGUAGCCUAUGAGGCUAUUUCUCAGGUCCAGGAUGCAGAUACAAUGCUGCUCCUCUGGCCUGGUGGCAUGCCUAAAGAGUAGCCUAUGGGGCUGCUUCUAAGCCCGGAGAAGCAGGUGGAGGUUGCUUGGCUGGCCUGGAGAUUUGGUGAAUCACAGUUAUGUUUCCUGGCAUUAAAUCACCCUUGAAUAUUUCUAUAAUAAAUGAAAUUCAAUAGGGCCUGAAAAGGGGGUCAACCAAGUACUGCGACUUUCACAAUAAAAUGAAUCAAAGCUCUCAUGAGUUCAUAACCUGAGCCAAAGAAAAAGAUGGAGUCUCGCUCUGUCGCCCAAGCUGGAGUGCAGUGGCGCGAUCUCGGCUCACUGCAAGCUCCGCCUCCCGGGUUCACGCCAUUCUCCUGCCUCAGCCUCCCGAGUAGCUGGGACUACAGAGGCCCACCACCACGCCCGGCUAAUUUUUUUGGAUUUUUAGUAGAGACGGUGUUUCACUGUGUUAGCCAGGAUGGUCUCGAUCUCCUGACCUCGAGAUCUACCCGCCUCGGCCUUCCAAAGUGCUGGGAUUACAGGCGUGAGCCACCGCGCCCAGCCUUUAAAGUUAUUUUCAAUAACACCUAGCAAUUAGGAAGCUUAAAAUUACAUGUUUUUAAGACUUGGAAUCAAAUAACUUCACUCUCUAAAGACUUAAGGCAAUGAAAAUUUUUUCGUUUUAAGUUUCACUUUCGUUCUUAAUUAUGACACUCUAGGAAUUUCUGUAUUUGUCUUUUAAGGUAAUUCUACUCUUGGGUAUUAUAAAAUGUUUGUCUUGUCUUUAUGUUUGUUUCUCUUGGUUCUAUAAAUUGCAUCCUCGAGUCCAGAAAAUGCUGUGUAUAAAUAUAUAUUAUUUCAGUGGCGUGCUAGGGGCUGGCUUGUACCAGCUCCUGAGACUUCAUUUUGUGUUCCUUUCCUCCUAGCUCUGAGUUCAUUGACAAUGUUGGUAGAUUGAAAUGGGCCGUGGUGGGAGUAUUUACACCACAAAAUUGGCAAGCACUCCAAAUAAGGGCUUUUUCUUUCCCCGAGAGCUGAUUAUUAAACAUUUACUAGCAUUUUUCUGCAUACACACGCACACACACGCGCACACACACACACACACACACACACACGAGUGCUAAUUCAGUUAAGGAUUUAGGCAUAUUCUAAUUAAUCAUGGCUAGUCAGUAGCCAAUGUGAUUUCUACUAAAUGAUAUAAUAUGACAUAUUUCGAACUGUUUAAUCUUUCUCAGAUCUUAAUGCUGUAUUAUAGUUUGUUCAUAUCACACAAUUAAAAGACAAAGAUAAUAUAGGAAAAUAAAUUUCUGCUUUGCAAUACAUAUCAAUUAAUAUACCCAAUAUAAUGAUAGAUGCAUUAAGAAGGACACAUCACUGAUGAAAUAGUCUUGCCAAACGUGUAUAACUUUAGUCGAAUCAUGAGACGAUAUCAGACAAACCCAAACUGAACGUCAUAGUUUAGAAAAUGGGUGAAGUUUUAAGGACAAGUUACAAAACAAAUCAUCAGUACUCCUUAAAAAAAAUCAAGGUAUUGAAAGACAAGAAGGUUGAGGAAGUGUCACAUACGAGGGGAGAUUAAGGAAAUGUGACACUAAAUGCAAUGUAAAAACCUGAAUUAAUGAUCUAGAAAAGGGAUAUUAGUGUGAAAAUGGGCAACAUUUAAAUAAGGCCUGUAGAUUAAUAAACAGUUUUGCAUGAAGGUUACUUUUGUUUCAAUAAUUGUUCUAUGUUUAUGUGAAAUAAUAACUUUAGGAGAAGCUGGGAAAAUGAUGUACAAAAUUUCUAUACUCUUUGUAAUUUUUCAUCUGAAACCAUCUAAUACCAUGACUGUGUAUUGUUUAAAAUGUUUUUUAAAAAGAAUAUGUUUUGGAAGUAGGAAACUCUGGCUUUGAAUCCUGAUUGUAUAAAACUUGAGAUUUCAAACAAAAUGUUUACAUUACUUUGUAUUUAAAUUUAAAUUUACUUUUCUCAUCUAUGGAAGAGGUGAUAAUUGUGUUCAUUUCACAAAACCGUAGCAAUCAAAUGAAAUAAUGUUUUCUAAACCUCCUAACACAAUGCCUGACAUAUAGUAUACGCUGAAUAAAUCAUUGUUAAAGAAGCUUUAUGAUUUUGAUGUUGGAGAAAACAUAAAACAAUUAAAAUGUAUUGACAGUUAGAAGGUUCUGAAUGUCCUUACAUUGAUCGUCUGUGUCCUCAAACAGACGUGAUUAUGAAGAAUCAAAACUAGUUUCCAAAAGAGGCAAUUAAAAGCUUCCACGGGCAUAAGGGCCACAUUCUUGGGUCUAAAAGAAAGAGAAGAGUAUGAGGAGUUAUAGAGCUAGAUUAAACUGGCCCAAUGUAGUAUAAGCUGUACUUUAGGAUCUGAUCCUGUAAACACAGUGUCAUGGCCUGGCCAUUAAACCCUGGAGGCAUAGAUUUCAUGAUUUCUGCAUUGGAUAAUAACACAGUUGCCUGCCAACUCCUGUGCAAUCUCCCAGCAUUGUACAAGCAUAUCUUCCUGCAUAAAUGCCCAAUAUAUGGCAGCUUAAUUUUAAUCAUGUAUAUUUAGAAGUGUGUUGUGCUUCUAGAUUUACCAGAAAUUUUCCUUGGUGACAAAUACAUACUUCCUAAUAAGUUUUGACCCUGUGGGCUAAAGGCAAAAUGUUCAAAGUAAUGCUACCCCAAGACCUGUGCUCCCACUUGCUUUAUCUGUAUGUAUGUACAUAUAUGUGUACAUAUGCACAUAGAAAACAUUUAUACAUACAUGUAUUUUAUAUAGAAUACUUCUUAGUUUGGUUCAAACAUAAGCAGCCAGAGUCACUUUAAAUGCUAAUGAACACCAUCAUCAAUGCAUAUGUCAAAACUAUGUCAUAAGUAAUAAAAAUUAAUUUAAAUAAUUAAGAAAGGUAACCUUUGCUUUGUUAUGCUAAGCUCUCAGUAUUCAUUUUUCCUUAUUUGGAUUGAUCACAACUUCCAAAUAUUACGACCAAUGAACUUGAAGAGGUACAUUGCUCUUGAAAUGUGUGUAAAUUAUUUUAAUAAAAAUUUCACCUGCAGACAAAACCAUCUACUUCCAUUCUCUGCAACCUCAUUCUUAAAGC